rnacentral:rRNA from 1 species
GAUGAACGCUGGCGGCGUGCCUAAUACGUGCAAGUCGAGCGAACGGACGAGAAGCUUGCUUCUCUGAUGUUAGCGGCGGACGGGUGAGUAACACGUGGAUAACCUACCUAUAAGACUGGGAUAACUUCGGGAAACCGGAGCUAAUACCGGAUAAUAUUUUGAACCGCAUGGUUCAAAAGUGAAAGACGGUCUUGCUGUCACUUCUAGAUGGAUCCGCGCUGCAUUAGCUAGUUGGUAAGGUAACGGCUUACCAAGGCAACGAUGCAUAGCCGACCUGAGAGGGUGAUCGGCCACACUGGAACUGAGACACGGUCCAGACUCCUACGGGAGGCAGCAGUAGGGAAUCUUCCGCAAUGGGCGAAAGCCUGACGGAGCAGCGCCGCGUGAGUGAUGAAGGUCUUCGGAUCGUAAAACUCUGUUAUUAGGGAAGAACAUAUGUGAAAUGAACUGUGCACAUCUUGACGGUACCUAAUCAGAAAGCCACGGCUAACUACGUG